AGCUACAGGCUUAACACAUGCAAGUCGAGGGGCAGCAUUUUAGUUUGCUUGCAAACUGAAGAUGGCGACCGGCGCACGGGUGAGUAACACGUAUCCAACCUGCCGAUAACUCCGGAAUAGCCUUUCGAAAGAAAGAUUAAUACCGGAUAGCAUACGAAUAUCGCAUGAUAUUUUUAUUAAAGAAUUUCGGUUAUCGAUGGGGAUGCGUUCCACUAGUUUGUUGGCGGGGUAACGGCCCACCAAGACUACGAUGGAUAGGGGUUCUGAGAGGAAGGUCCCCCACAUUGGAACUGAGACACGGUCCAAACUCCUACGGGAGGCAGCAGUGAGGAAUAUUGGUCAAUGGGCGAGAGCCUGAACCAGCCAAGUAGCGUGAAGGAUGAAGGCUCUAUGGGUCGUAAACUUCUUUUAUAUGGGAAUAAAGUUUUCCACGUGUGGAAUUUUGUAUGUACCAUAUGAAUAAGGAUCGGCUAACUCCGUGCCAGCAGCCGCGGUAAUACGGAGGAUCCGAGCGUUAUCCGGAUUUAUUGGGUUUAAAGGGAGCGUAGGUGGAUUGUUAAGUCAGUUGUGAAAGUUUGCGGCUCAACCGUAAAAUUGCAGUUGAAACUGGCAGUCUUGAGUACAGUAGAGGUGGGCGGAAUUCGUGGUGUAGCGGUGAAAUGCUUAGAUAUCACGAAGAACUCCGAUUGCGAAGGCAGCUCACUAGACUGUUACUGACACUGAUGCUCGAAAGUGUGGGUAUCAAACAGGAUUAGAUACCCUGGUAGUCCACACAGUGAACGAUGAAUACUCGCUGUUUGCGAUAUACAGUAAGCGGCCAAGCGAAAGCAUUAAGUAUU
rnacentral:rRNA from 1 species